GGGCAUAUAGUUUAAUGGUUUAGAAUACGAGAUUCCAAAUCUCGAAGAUGUGGGUUCGAAUCCUACUGUGCCUG
rnacentral:tRNA from 1 species